AUUGAACGCUGGCGGCAGGCUUAACACAUGCAAGUCGAACGAGUGGCGGACGGGUGAGUAAUGCUUGGGAAUCUAGCUUAUGGAGGGGGAUAACUACGGGAAACUGUAGCUAAUACCGCGUACCAUAGGCUGAGCCCAAGUGGGAUUAGGUAGUUGGUGAGGUAAAGGCUCACCAGGUCGCAGCUCUCUAGCUGGUCUGAGAGGAUGAUCAGCCACACAGGAACUGGGAAACGGCCCAGACUCCUACGGGAGGCAGCAGUGUGGAAUAUUGCACAAUGGGCGCAAGCCUGAUGCAGCCAUGCCGCGUGUAUGAAGAAGGCCUUCGGGUUGUAAAGUACUUUCAGUCGGGAGGCGUUACCGACAGAAGAAGCACCGGCUAACUCCGUGCCAGCAGCCGCGGUAAUAC
rnacentral:rRNA from 1 species